rnacentral:rRNA from 1 species
UGUAUAUAUUUUACAUAUUAUUUUAAAUAUAAUUUUAAAAGCCGCAAUUUUUUGUGCUAAGGUAGCAUAAUCAUUUGUUUUUUAAUUAAAAACUAGAAUGAAAGGUAAAACAUUUAAAUUACUUUAUUAAAAUUUAAAUUUUAAUUUAUAUUAAAUAUAAAAAUAUAUUUAUACUUUAAAAAGACGACAAGACCCUAUUAAACUUUACUUAAGUUUAACUGGGGUAGUUAAUAAAUAAAAAUCUUUAAUAAAAUUUAUAAUAAUAGAAAUCUAGUAAAAUUAAAAUAAUCAAGUUACUAUAGGGAUAACAGCGUUAUUUUUCUUAAAAGUUCACAUUAAAAGAAAUGAUUGCGACCUCGAUGUUGAAUUAUAUAUCUUUAUUACGAAACCGUUAUAAAAGUAAGUCUGUUCGACUUUUAAAAUAUUACAUG